UACGUAGGGUGCAAGCGUUCAUCGGAAUUACUGGGCGUAAAGGGCUCGUAGGCGGCCAACUAAGUCGGAUGUGAAAUCCCCAGGCUUAACCUGGGAACUGCAUCCGAUACUGGAUGGCUUGAAUCCGGGAGAGGGAUGCAGAAUUCCAGGUGUAGCGGUGAAAUGCGUAGAUAUCUGGAGGAAUACCGGUGGCGAAGGCGGCAUCCUGGACCGGCAUUGACGCUGAGGAGCGAAAGCUAGGGGAGCAAACGGG
rnacentral:rRNA from 1 species